GCCUAUUAAUUUCCUAAUGUUUGCUCCAGGACCGAGCAGCCCGGUGCCUGCUGAGGUUUAUCUGCGCGGCUCAGCUGUGGAACGUGCUGCGUGCCAGCUUCUGGGUGCUUCAGAGAUUUGCCAGGCCCAGGAGGGGGCAGGAGGCGCCGGGAGCAGCUUCUGGCCCAUCCAUGACACCAGCCAGGGCCACUUUUCAGUGCCAGUCAUGGGUGAAAUCGAGGCUAGCACGAGACUGAACGUUUCUCAAUGAAGCAACGAAUGAAACGAGUUCACGAAUGACCGCGUGGGAGACGGAGCCAAUGACAGAGUCAGCAGCCCCGGCAGCCCCCACAUGGCCCACACCCGCGCCACUCCUGCCUCUGCCUUCUCUCCAUGUACAGCCCAGUCCACACCCUACAAGGGAGGGAACCUGGGAGACAGAGGGAGGCUCCAUCACUGCUCUGCCCAUCACCCCCAGCAGAGAGGCCCCGGUCAACGUGCAGCUCCGUUGGGCACUGAGUCACUGGAACCCUGCCAUCUGCACCCUACCUCUUGUUACAACCUCAGCAGAGGGGAGACCUGACAGUUUGCGGGGCUACCUGCAGGUGAUUCGGGCUGCCCCUCCCUGAUGGCUGCACAUCGGGACACCCCCGACCCACCACCACCCGGUUUAGCAGAGCAGAGGAGCUUGGCCUCUGAGCUCAACUGGGCCUGAGUCUGAAUCCAAGCUCCACCACUGGCUUCAGCAAGCCUGGACCUCCCUGGGCCUCAGUUUCCCCCUCUAUAUAAUGGGGUAAGCUAGUACUGACUUCCUUGAGUUGUUGUGAGUGGGAAGUGAGAUGCCUGCUCCCCACGCAUGAUCCACGGGAAUGCGCCCGGGGCCAGCAGAAUAACGGCCCCCCAAAGAUGUCCAUGCUCGAAUCUCCAGAACCUGUGAAUAUGGCGCCUUGUGUGGGAAGGGGGAUCCAGGUUGCGGAUGGAAUGAAGGUUGCUGAUCCACUGACCUUGAGAUGAGAUGGAGAGACUAUCUGGGUGGCCUAGUGUCAUCACAAGGGGAAUGUAAGUGGAAGAAGGAGGCAGGAGAGUCUGUGUCAGAAUGAUGUGGUGUGAGCAACUCGACUGUUGUUGCUGGCUUUGAACGUGGAAGGGGUCUAUGGCCGAAGAAUGUGGCAGCCUCUAGAGACUGGGAAAGGCACAGAGAUCAGUUGUCCCCUGGAGCCUGCAGGAAGGAACACGGCCCUGCUCACACCUUGACUUCAGUUGGAGUGACACUCAUUUCAUACUUCUCACCCCCAGAACUGUAGGGUAAUAAAUGUGUGUUGUUUUAAAACACUAAGCCUGUGGUCACUGUUAGAGCAAUGGUAAGAGAUGGACGAUCACUACUAUCACCUCUGAAUAGUCACUCAAGGAAAACACGUUGAUUA
rnacentral:lncRNA from 1 species